GUGAAAUUUUCUUAGAGAACAGCAAAUUUACAAAUAUAAACAACAAUCUUUCCUACUGACAUCAAUCAUAUCAACAGAAAGAAGAAAUACAUGGCAUCUCCAGUUCUCCACACACAAAGACAGAACAGCUGCUCAAACUACCUGACCAAACAGGAAAUGUUAAAACCAGAAUUUGUUGAAUUCCCACUAUCCAACCCAUAUUAAA
rnacentral:misc_RNA from 1 species